rnacentral:rRNA from 1 species
AGACUGCUCAUGCUAAGUUNGGCAGUCAAGACGGAAACAGCCGAGAACACUGAUCAAGGUCCCAAAUGAUUGUUAAGUGAAAUUAAGGACGUAGCAAUAUCGUAUACAGCUGUGAAGUGAGCCUGGCAGUCGCUACUUAUAAUGAUCGUACGUAACAACGCAUCAGCAGUAUUAAAUUUUAUUAUUUAUAAUAAAUUUUAAAUGAUAGUAGCGCCGAAAAUUUAACGGGUCUUAAACAAUCAACCGAUAUCGUGUUGGUUUUAUUAAAAAAUACUUUUUUUAAUGGAAUCUAGGUAGUAGAACAUUCAGUUUAACUGUUAAUUAAAUAGUGUUUCAUUGUUUAUUAGGUUACUGAAGAGAGAAUGCUGACAUGAGUAACGUAAAAAAUUCCUUAUAAUGGAAUUCGCCGAAUACGAAAGGGUUGCAAAUUUGAAAGGUUAAACCGUUUUGUGUAAAUGCGGCCUCUAAGGACUAUAGCAAUAGCUAUGGCUGAUGAGUAAAUAAUAGAAAGUCCAAUAUUUAAAAAAUGGACCAGGAAAAUAAUAUUA